GGGGUCGUGGCUCAAUGGCUAGAGCACCUGCUUUGCAAGCAGGAUGUUGAGGGUUCGAGUCCCUUCGACUCCACCA
rnacentral:tRNA from 1 species